rnacentral:rRNA from 1 species
AUUGAACGCUGGCGGCAUGCCUUACACAUGCAAGUCGAACGGCAGCACGGGAGCAAUACUGGUGGCGAGUGGCGAACGGGUGAGUAAUAUAUCGUAACGUGCCCAGUCGUGGGGGUUAACGCAGCGAAAGCUGUGCUAAUACCGCCUACGAUCUCUGGAUGAAAGCGGGGGACCGCACGGCGUCGCGCGAAUGGCGCGGCCGAUAUCAGAUUAGCUAGUUGGUGGGGUAAAGGCUCACCAAGGCGACGAUCUGUAGCUGGUCUGAGAGGACGACCAGCCACACUGGAACUGAGACACGGUCCAGACUCCUACGGGAGGCAGCAGUGGGGAAUUUUGGACAAUGGGCGCAAGCCUGAUCCAGCAAUGCCGCGUGCAGGAUGAAGGCCUUCGGGUUGUAAACUGCUUUUGUACGGAGCGAAAAGGCUCUCUCUAAUACAGGGGGCUCAUGACGGUACCGUAAGAAUAAGCACCGGCUAACUACGUGCCAGCCGCCGCCGUAACAC